rnacentral:lncRNA from 1 species
GCUGUGCCAUCUGAGUGGAGUCCUGGUGAGCACAGUGCAGGAAGGGGGGCCAGGGUCAGACUGGGGAGGACUCUUCAGGAUCAGGCUAAGGAGGACUAGGAGGUGGAAAAAACGUGGUCUUUCUUGGUAGGAAAGGUCUAGGUUCCAAUGCUACACCCACCCCUUCUGGGAGGUAUGUGACCUGAAACAGGUAACUCAGUUCACUGAGCAGUGAAAUGAAAGGACUGAUUUCAGAUGUUUGUUUUGAGGAUUAACCAAAAAUAGCACAGUGAAAAAACCCUGGUCCAUCACUAGACAUUCAAAUUGUGCUCCCUCUGCCCUCCUCUUUGCUCCAGGAGUUGGGGUUCAAUUCUAAGAGGACUCAGUGCCAAGACUUUAAUCAAGAAAGUCCAACUUUCAAAGUAAGACCUGGAGACCAACGAGGAGAUGUUUGCAGGAGAUCUCUGGGCUUGGUGAUUAACUCCAACUGAGGAAAGUGGCAGUGGGCCCAGGAGGACACCUGCUGAGACUCUGGCAAGGACAGCUAGUGAGCAAUUGGCUUGAGGGAGUGAAGGACAACCAGAAGCCCCAAGGGGCUUUGAGGUUUUGACCUGGUGGUCUGGACCAACAGGGAUGAGAGAAGAAGCACUACCUGAGGGUGAAGGUGGGGAGUUUGAUUUGAUAUUAUGUUAAGCUGGAAGGUACAUCCAGACAUGAUCCAGAGGAGCAACAGCAUAUGGCCAAAAGAAUCAGACAGACCUGGGUUCAAAUCCCAGCCCGCUGCUCUCUAGCUACAUGACCAGCUAAGCAUCUCUGUGAGCCUCUAUUUCCUUAUCUGCAAAAAAGAAGGUGAAGGCCUGAUGCAUACCAAAUUGUCCGACAACUUAUAAACUGAUAGAUACACAAUAAAAAUUUUUGUUUUUCCUUAACAUUUCUCAGGCAAAUGGAAAGGAGUACUGAGGUUGGCCACAGAGCCCUUCAGUGUAGAUUUGAAAAGCCCUGGACUCCAGCAGAAGCUGAGGAAGGAGCAGAAGUUGAGAUCAAUUACCUUUUGGAGGAAAAUCUGUCAAAGACUGAUAGUCACCAAAGGGCCAGCGCAGCACCACCUCCUCUUUGAGGCUCUCCUUGUUCUCCAGCGCCAUCAGCAAGACAUGGAGGCAAAAGCACGGGCCUUGGAGUUACACCGACUCUGAGGUCAAGCUCCUGCUCUGCUUGAUAGCUGUGAAAAUAUGGCAAAUCAUCUAGCUUCCCUGAGCCACAUGUUCUGUCUGUAUAAAAUGUGGUUGACAGGGGCACCUGGGUGGCUCUGUCACCUGGGCAUCUGCGUUUGGCUCAGGUCAUGAUCUCAGGGUCCAGGGAUCGAGCCCUGAGUUGGGCUCUCUGCUCAGCAGGGAGCCUGCUUCUCCCUCUCCCUCUGCCUGCCGUCCCCCCUGCUUGUGUGCUCUCUCUCUCUGUCAAAUAAAUAAAUAAAUAAAAUCUUUUAAAAAAUAUAUAGUUGACAACACUUAGAUACAUGGAAAUAACAUAGCUGGAUGUGUUUGGAGUCAUGCCCUGGAAAGGAGAGAUAACAGAAUCAUCCAGGCUAUUUUAGUCUAGUCUGUUCUGCUCUGCACUGGCCAUUCCUUCUGGUCAAGUCAUAGCCCUCUCUGACCCUCAGUCUCCUCCUCUGAAAAUGAUGGAGUCUGACUGAUGCUCGGGAUGGGCCUUCUCAGUUCUAGAGGGACUUCGUGUCUCUGCCUCUCACCCACCAUUUUUCUGCCUUCCACGGUGACUGAUCUUUUUCUAUAUACGACCUGUCUCCCCAACCAGAUUAGGGGACCCCAGAGAGCAGUGAAUGUGCCUUAUUAGUCUUUGUAUCUCUAGAGCCCGGAAGAGUGCCCUAAACUUAGGACAUUUAUCACAUUAGACUUCCAUCACCUUAGCUCUCUCCUGCUUUGUGAGUGCCACAUCCAAUGAAGGGGCCAGCCUGAGCCCUAUUACAGCGCCGCCUGAUGCUCCAGCCCCAGGGCGCUUUGCCUCUGCAGACCUGAGGCUGCCAUAGCUACUUGUAAACUGCUCAAGACAUGCCAACUGCCAGCAAGGGUCUGCGGAUACAUCUCUCAAAUUAUAAGAAGAGCUAUGUAGUGAAUUACCAACAGAUUAGCCAUGGGAUUGGAUAAUGUUCUUUCAGAUGUCACCCACUUGGAAUGAUGCAUAAAGAACACCGUGCGGGAUCACCUGGAUGUGGCCAAAGGAAACCGCUGGAAGUCACACCACACUGUGGGGCCAAAGCCCCAUCCCAUCCCUGGAUCCCUAAGUCAUGAGUUACACUCAGCAAUCUCUACUCAGUAAUUGCUUCUUUCCCUAAGUGAUGCCAGAACCAAUGUGUUUUUUAUUUCUCCUUAAAUGAGGAUGUGCUGGCGGGCCUGUAUUUUUUCUCACCUAAUAACAAGUGACAGCAAAGUGUGAAAUUAGCUAUAACAAGCACCAAAGACUGAAUUUUGCAAACUCUCAAAUAAGCUGAGAAAUCAGGAGCUGGCCCUCAAGAUCCAGUGGCACGUAGUGGUCUUAUUGACCUGGAAUCCGCUGGAAGGGGCUGGACAAUCUCCCAGCUCCAGACACUCACUGGAUUCUGGGGUUGGGAGACUAGUAACCCUAUGACCACUGGGAAGUUUUGCUGAUGCCAACACUGGCCCCUUUGAUGCAAGCAUCCCCAAAGAUUGAGGCAAUGCAAAGAAAAUGGGGCUUGUGGAGAUGAGAUUUCAAAUACUGCUCCCUGGAAGGGCUGAUCUCAGUGUUUCAUAUAUAGAAUCCCAAUCACACUAGAGAAACAAACAAAGGAGGUCCCGGAUGUGUCAGAGGACUCCACACUGCUCAUAACUGCUCGGCCCACUAGCUGUGCGGCCUCAGAGCAGGACUGCCACGUCAGGUCACACUGGCCAAACCCCUCACAAAGCCAGGCUGUGCCGUUCCCAUUGGGGACGCCCCCAACGGCUCCCGCUGGGGUUGUGCAGCAUUGGCAAGGAAAUCUCUCGGAGUUUUAAUUUCAUCAUUUGUGAAAUGGAGACAAUAAUGCCUUAAUCAUAGGACAACCGGGAAAAUAAAAUUGGGCAAGUGUAUGAAUUAGGCCAUUUCCCUGUCCUCACUGCAAAGCCCAAUCUUGGCCUAUCCUUUGAGGCUUCAGACCCAG